UCCACAUCCCCAGCAUUUGCAAGUGAUUUCCAUCUCUGCUGGAUCUUUCUUUGAAUUCUGCUUCACAUCUCUUCACUCUUUGUCUUCUUACUUUCCUAAAGGCAUUACAAGUAAAGUGUUACCCAUAGGUGAGCCCAACGAUGGAGGGCAGAAAAAAGGUAGAGGAAGCCUUGGGAUUUGAGCUGAAUCUGAAGCUGGGACAGACUGGCUCUGCUGAGAUGGACAUGGAUGGAUCAGUGGACCAUAAAUAGGAUGAACAUCUGCAGUGUGCCCGGGCUGCUGCAGUGAUGUCCUGGGCUGCAUGGACAGAUGCACCUGGCAGGGGCCAGGAAGGGAUUGUUCCCUUUACCUGGCACUCAUUAGGUUGCACCAGUGAUGUUGGGAAUUGGUUACAUGACAAAGGUCCCGUAGACAUGCUCUGGAUAGCUGAGAAUUGGAAAAGUACUGGCCCAGCUAAUCUGAGGCCCUACACCUGCAAGGCCGCAGUGGCCUUGGGUAUAGCUGUAGUCUGAUAACAAGAUGAUGUAGCCGAGAGCAGAGCAUGAGAAAAGGGAGAUGUAAGUUGUAAAGAAUAAAGAAGUAAGAAUAACCAAUAGACUGCUUAGCUUACAGAAUAUGCAUGAGCUUAUUACAUGUUGUGCUUAAAUGUCUGAUGCUCUAAUCAAUAAACGAAGCUUGCUGAUUCUCACAUGGAGAUGACCCGAGCUUCCUGCACUGGGACAAAUGGCGCCUCGAACAGAGACCCUAAAAGAGCGGGGAGGCGAAAGGGCUGGUGCUCCGCGCCUUGAACAAGGACCCUAGAGAGGGGGGUUGGCAAAAGAGCUGGUGGUCUCCGUGCCCCGAGCGACCCUACAGAGGAGUCUCGGCUUGAACCUGUUGGCCACGGUCCAGUGCAGUAUCCGUGUCGGUCCCGAAGCAGCACGGGAGGCAAAGAGCUAGUACUCCAGCCCCGAGCGACCCUAGAGAGGAGUCUCGGCCGAUGAACGCCGCCGACGUCUUGGAAGGGCUGCAACAGCGCUGACGUUUAAAUUGAAAGCCGGCAAUUGCACUCACAGCGGUCCGGCGGGAGUCGACCCUGUAUUACCCGUGCUGACCCCUCCCGUGGCCGCCUCCCCAGCAGAGCCCGUGAGAGCUCCGGCCGCGGCUGUCCUGCCAUCUCCCGUGUCGGCUCCACCAGCAGCUGUCUGCGCCUGCACUGCAGCUUUCGGCACCCGGAAAGGACGCGGCUGCCGUCCCCAACCCGGCAAGAGAUGCAUUUCCUUCAGCUUUGCAGCCCCCACCGACUCCCGCGGCGACCCCGCCUUCGCCCGCCGCGCCGGUAAAGAAGAUUGGAGUCGACAAUAGCGACCACCAAGCGGAACCGUCUUCGGAGCCGCCCCUCUGCCCCCAGCAAUAGCUGCCAGCGCCUGCGAUCAGCCGAUAUUCCCUCCCGAACUUUUCGAACUGUCCCGAGACUGCCCCUGCGGGGACAGCUGAGACGGGGGGGAAGACGGAGAAGGGGGGGGGGGGACGACGACGCCAUCCUGCCCCUGCGGUGCAGCAAGGGCCUGUGUAAAAACUCAGCGUUUUUCGCAAGCCGAUUCGAGUCUAGUUUAGAAGUUCCCAUUAAAGUUUAAAAUGCUUAAAUUCCCCUGCUUGCCCCAGCGGCCUAGAGAAAGUAACUCCUAAAAGUUUAAAAGUUCUGCCUCUACUCUCACCCCCCUCCUCCAGCCCAGAGGAGGGGGGGGGGGGGGGGGGGUGAGAGUAGUACCAAGGAGCUGUAAAUUAACCCUGUGAGUACACCAAAGAGAACUGCAUAACUGUAAAAAAUCUAAAAGCAUGUGCUAUAUAGACCUUUUUAACCAUUCGCAGUCUAUUUACUCCCAGCUCUCUGAGUUGCAGAGGUUAACUAGAAACUUACAAGUAGAAUUAAGCUUUAGUGUUGAUAAAUAGCUCAAAACUUUAGGCCUAAGAUUAUAGCUUUGUUUUAUUGUUAAAGCUAAUAUUAUAAUAAGUGUUAUAGCUUUGUUAAUAGUAUUAGUUUUGCUUUGUUUUUGCAUGUGCUUAUAAAAAAUAGUAUAAAAAAUAAUAUUUACUGCAUUUAAUCAAACAUUGCUUGUGCAAAAAGAAAACAGGGGAAUUGUUGGGAAUUGGUUACAUGACAAAGGUCCCGUAGACAUGCUCUGGAUAGCUGAGAAUUGGAAAAGUACUGGCCCAGCUAAUCUGAGGCCCUACACCUGCAAGGCCGCAGUGGCCUUGGGUAUAGCUGUAGUCUGAUAACAAGAUGAUGUAGCCGAGAGCAGAGCAUGAGAAAAGGGAGAUGUAAGUUGUAAAGAAUAAAGAAGUAAGAAUAACCAAUAGACUGCUUAGCUUACAGAAUAUGCAUGAGCUUAUUACAUGUUGUGCUUAAAUGUCUGAUGCUCUAAUCAAUAAACGAAGCUUGCUGAUUCUCACA